CUAGCUGUAAACGAUGGAUACUAGGCGUUGAGAGUAUCGACCCUCUCAGUGUCGUAGCUAACGCGUUAAGUAUCCCGCCUGGGGAGUACGCGCGCAAGCGUGAAACUCAAAGGAAUUGACGGGGGCCCGCACAAGCGGUGGAGUAUGUGGUUUAAUUCGAUGCAACGCGAAGAACCUUACCAGGGCUUGACAUGUCCGGAACCCUGCCCAAAGGCGGGGGUGCCUACGGGAACCGGAACACAGGCGGUGC
rnacentral:rRNA from 1 species